AGAGCGAACGCUGGCGGCAGGCCUAAUACAUGCAAGUCGAACGAGCCCUUCGGGGUUAGUGGCGGACGGGUGAGUAACACGUGGGAACGUGCCUUUUGGUUCGGAACAACUCAGGGAAACUUGAGCUAAUACCGAAUGUGCCCUUCGGGGGAAAGAUUUAUCGCCAUUAGAGCGGCCCGCGUCUGAUUAGCUAGUUGGUGAGGUAAAGGCCCACCAAGGCUACGAUCAGUAGCUGGUCUGAGAGGAUGAUCAGCCACACUGGGACUGAGACACGGCCCAGACUCCUACGGGAGGCAGCAGUAGGGAAUCUUGCGCAAUGGGCGAAAGCCUGACGCAGCCAUGCCGCGUGAAUGAUGAAGGUCUUAGGAUUGUAAAAUUCUUUCAGCGGGGACGAUAAUGACGGUACCCGCAGAAGAAGCCCCGGCUAACUUCGCGCCAGCAGCCGC
rnacentral:rRNA from 1 species